rnacentral:tRNA from 1 species
GAAGGUAUAGAUUAGUGGUAGAGCGCAUGCUUAGCAUGCAUGGUGCACGAGGUCCUGGGUUCAAUUCCCAAUACCUCCA